AGAGUUUGAUCCUGGCUCAGGAUGAACGCUGGCGGUCUGCUUAACACAUGCAAGUCGAACGGAAUCUUUCGGGAUUUAGUGGCGGACGGGUGAGUAACGCGUGAGAAUCUGCCUUCAGGUUCGGGACAACAGUUGGAAACGGCUGCUAAUACCGGAUGUGCCGAGAGGUGAAAGCUUAAGUGCCUGGAGAUGAGCUCGCGUCUGAUUAGCUAGUAGGAGUGGUAACGGCACCCCUAGGCGACGAUCAGUAGCUGGUCUGAGAGGAUGAUCAGCCACACUGGGACUGAGACACGGCCCAGACUCCUACGGGAGGCAGCAGUGGGGAAUUUUCCGCAAUGGGCGCAAGCCUGACGGAGCAAGACCGCGUGAGGGAAGAAGGUCUGUGGAUUGUAAACCUCUUUUGAUCGGGAAGAAGACAGUGACGGUACCUGCGAAGA
rnacentral:rRNA from 1 species